UUCUCCUGUUAAUGUUACAACUACAGUUGACGCUAAUACAUCUCUUGCUAAAAUAGAAAAUGCUAUUAUAAUGAUAAGUGAUCAAAGAGCAAAUUUAGGUGCUUUCCUUAAUAGACUUGAAUCUAUAAAUAAUACUACUGAGCAUUGCGAUUANCAAAUUUGUUUGACAACAUGUGCAUUUGGUUAUAUUGAGCUUGAUCAGCAAUUCUAUUAAUUUCGUCUGUAAGUUGCUCUAUUUCAAUUUGUAUAGAACCUCUGUCU
rnacentral:misc_RNA from 1 species